rnacentral:rRNA from 1 species
UACGUAGGGUGCGAGCGUUAAUCGGAAUUACUGGGCGUAAAGCGUGCUUAGGCGGUUCGUUAAGUUCGUUGUGAAAGCCCCGGGCUCAACCUGGGAAUGGCAAUGGAAACUGGCGGGCUGGAGUAUGGCAGAGGGGGGUGGAAUUCCGCGUGUAGCAGUGAAAUGCGUAGAGAUGCGGAGGAACACCGAUGGCGAAGGCAGCCCCCUGGGCCAAUACUGACGCUCAGGCACGAAAGCGUGGGGAGCAAACAGG